UACGGAGGGUGCAAGCGUUAUCCGGAUUCACUGGGUUUAAAGGGUGCGUAGGCGGACAGGUAAGUCAGUGGUGAAAUCUCCGAGCUUAACUCGGAACUGCCGUUGAUACUAUUUGUCUUGAAUAUUGUGGAGGUAAGCGGAAUAUGUCAUGUAGCGGUGAAAUGCUUAGAUAUGACAUAGAACACCAAUUGCGAAGGCAGCUUACUACACAACAAUUGACGCUGAGGCACGAAAGCGUGGGGAUCAAACAGG
rnacentral:rRNA from 1 species